rnacentral:rRNA from 1 species
UACGUAGGGUCCGAGCGUUGUUCGGAAUUACUGGGCGUAAAGGGCUCGUAGGCGGCCAACUAAGUCAGACGUGAAAUCCCUCAGCUUAACUGGGGAACUGCGUCUGAUACUGGAUGGCUUGGAUUCGGGAGAGGAAUGCGGAAUUCCAGGUGUAGCGGUGAAAUGCGUAGAUAUCUGGAGGAACACCGGUGGCGAAGGCGGCAUUCUGGACCGAUAUUGACGCUGAGGAGCGAAAGCCAGGGGAGCAAACGGG